rnacentral:lncRNA from 1 species
CCUAAUUAUGCAUAGUUUAGUGGAGGUAUAUGAUUUAUCAAUUAUGUAGUACAGUAGAGAAAUCAUGCACAAAGUAGCCUACACAAUCGCAAAGCAUGUGAAGUAUAUUCACGUGUGCCGCACACAUAGCCUAGUUUCUGCUGAAUAUCAUCUGCAGACAGCAAGAGUGUGCAGCUCUCAACUGGUUUUGUCAUGGAGUAGCUCAUAGAAGAAGGACAUCGGUAGCCGGUAGGUUCUGCCCGCUGUGAUUCUGGUCCCUGUAUCCAGUCCGAUUUCUCUCAGUCCUGCUACUCUAUCCUGGAUCCCCCACUCUACACUCCCUUGGAUUCCCCUCCGGACCUGCUUACCCUGUCCCAACACCUCUCGCUCCAGCCUCACUCUCAGCACCAGGUGCUGUAGAUGUCCGGAGGGCAGGCAGGGUGCCUCCGGUGUUGCGAUGGACUGACCACACCACCCUCUGGAGAGCCCUGCUCUUGCAGACGGUGCAAUUGCCAUACCAGGUGGUGAUACAGCCCGGCAGGAUGCUAUAAAUGGUGCAUCUGUAGAAGUUUGUGAGGGUGUUAGGGGCCAAGACCAAUUUCUUCAGCCUCCUGAGGUUGAAGAGGCACUGUUGCUCCUUUUUCACCACACUGUCUGUGUGAAGGGACCAUUUCAGGAUGUCAGUGAUGUGCACACCAAGGAUCUUUUAGCUUUUCACCCUCUCAACUGAGGCACCUUCAUUUUGUUGACAUUGAGGGAGAGGUUGUUUUCCUGGCACCACACCACCAGGGCCCUCACCUCUUCCAUGUAGGCCAUCUCAUCAUUGUUGGUGGUAAUCAGGCCUACCACUGUUGUGUCAUCAGCAAACUUGACAAUUGAGUUGGAGAUGUGAGUGGCCAGGGAGAAUUUUUAUUUUAUUUUACCAGGCAAGUCCGUUAAGAACAAAUUCUUAUUUUCAAUGACGGCCUAGGAACAGUGGGUUAACUGCCUUGUUCAGGGGCAGAACAACACAUUUUUACCUUGUCAGCUCAUGGAUUCGAUCUUGCAACCUUUCGGGUUACUAGUCCAACACUCUAACCACUAGGGGCCACCUGCCGCCCCAGUAUAGUAGGGGGCUGAGCAUGAACUCUUGUUGGGCCCCCGUGUUGAGGACCAGUGUGGUGGAGGUAUUGUUGCCUACCUUCACCAUCUGAGAGAGAGUGUGUGUGGGUGUGUGUGAGAGUAAGCUGGCAUCAUGCAUGCUUGUUUGUGGUGAGUGUGUGUGUGCUUUCCCGGCAUCAUGCAUGCCUGUGUGUGUGUGUGUGCUGCGUCAUGCAUGGCAGUAUGUGUGUGUGUGUGGGAGUAAGGCAGGUUGUCAUCUCAUACCUUCUGCUGUUGAAUCUUAACAUGAUCUGAAUGAUUAUCCUGCUUCAACCACUUUGUCUCACAUCAGCUCAGCAACAUGGUGAACGUUACAGCUAGGUUUGCAAAAGUCUGGAAACUUCCACGGUUUUCCAGAAAUUCCUGUUGGAAGAUUACUGGAGUCAGGAGGGAAUAAGCAGGAUUAUCCAGAAUCCUCCAACCAGAAUUUUGUAAAAGUUACUCAAAUUUUGCAAAUCUAGUUACAGUUGAUGGAGGUUUUCUGCUGCAUCAAAUACAUUUUACAGAAAAGUAAUACAUUUAGUAUUUACAGUAUAAAUGUAAUUCAAGACUUCUUCCUGGGUACAAACUGGUUGUCACAGAUAGGAGAGGCCUGGAAAUCAUGUAACCAUUUUCACAAUAGUUUUUAUUGUUUAUUGUUGUAUUGUCCCAAUUUGAUGCGAUGCAAUGUUUCUUGGUCUGAAUCACCAAAAACUGUCUUUGUUUUGUUUGUUGUACAACUUGAUAAGAUGAAUAAACCAUGAAAAAUUGUCAUGGUGAUAGCUGUUCUGUAAAUAUCAUUGGUGGUCAUUGUCAGCACUCACCUAGGGGCAUGAUUUGGGGCUGUACAAAUGUUUGAUGUAUUAGAAUAAUUGAUUAUGCUUAUGUUAUAUUAAUAGAAGGGGAGGGGUUAUAAGACCCCUCCCUCCUUACAUUUAUAGGGUCCUAGACUACAGAUUAACAAUAUAUAUAUUCAUUAUAUAGUUUUAGAAUGGUUCCACAGUUGUUUUCUCUCUCACUCACUCUACUCUCUCAUAAUGUGUGACUGAGACAGAGCUCUGCAGGGGAGUGUGGGAGAUAAGAGACUACUCAGACAUUCCACAAUAAAUCAACUUUGGGGAGGGGACAUUUAUUGCCUAGCUUUUGGAUAAACACUGAAACUCUAUGUUUGUACAGCUGUGGAUGCAGGGUUUUGGUCUCAGGAGUAAAAAGGUAAUGAUGUAGUCAGUGACAUCACUAAGGCGGGACUUUGGUUUAAUAAAAC